rnacentral:rRNA from 1 species
CCUAGGGCGGCAGCAGUGGGGAAUAUUGGACAAUGGGGGCAACCCUGAUCCAGCCAUGCCGCGUGUGUGAAGAAGGCCCUCGGGUUGUAAAGCACUUUCAGUGAGGAAGAACGCCUGGUGGUUAAUACCCAUCAGGAAAGACAUCACUCACAGAAGAAGCACCGGCUAACUCCGUGCCAGCAGCCGCGGUAAUACGGAGGGUGCGAGCGUUAAUCGGAAUUACUGGGCGUAAAGCGCGCGUAGGUGGCUUGAUAAGCCGGUUGUGAAAGCCCCGGGCUCAACCUGGGAACGGCAUCCGGAACUGUCAAGCUAGAGUGCAGGAGAGGAAGGUAGAAUUCCCGGUGUAGCGGUGAAAUGCGUAGAGAUCGGGAGGAAUACCAGUGGCGAAGGCGGCCUUCUGGACUGACACUGACACUGAGGUGCGAAAGCGUGGGUAGCAAACAGGAUUAGAUACCCGUGUAGUC